GUUUGAUCCUGGCUCAGGAUUAACGCUGGCGGCGUGCCUAAUACAUGCAAGUCGAACGGAAGUUUAAGCAAUUAAACUUUAGUGGCGAACGGGUGAGUAACGCGUAAGCAAUCUGCCCCUAAGACGAGGAUAACAGUUGGAAACGACUGCUAAGACUGGAUAGGAGACAAGAAGGCAUCUUCUUGUUUUUAAAAGACCUAGCAAUAGGUAUGCUUAGGGAGGAGCUUGCGUCACAUUAGUUAGUUGGUGGGGUAAAGGCCUACCAAGACUAUGAUGUGUAGCCGGGCUGAGAGGUUGAACGGCCACAUUGGGACUGAGACACGGCCCAAACUCCUACGGGAGGCAGCAGUAGGGAAUUUUCGGCAAUGGAGGAAACUCUGACCGAGCAACGCCGCGUGAACGAUGAAGUAUUUCGGUACGUAAAGUUCUUUUAUUAGGGAAGAAUAAAUGAUGGAAAAAUCAUUCUGACKGUACCUAAUGAAUAAGCCCCGGCUAACUAUGUGCCAGCAGCCGCGGUAAUACAUAGGGGGCAAGCGUUAUCCGGAAUUAUUGGGCGUAAAGGGUGCGUAGGCGGUUAAAUAAGUUUAUGGUCUAAGUGCAAUGCUCAACAUUGUGAUGCUAUAAAAACUGUUUAGCUAGAGUAAGAUAGAGGCAAGUGGAAUUCCAUGUGUAGUGGUAAAAUGCGUAAAUAUAUGGAGGAACACCAGUAGCGAAGGCGGCUUGCUGGGUCUUUACUGACGCUGAGGCACGAAAGCGUGGGGAGCAAACAGGAUUAGAUACCCUGGUAGUCCACGCCGUAAACGAUGAGUACUAAACGUUGGGUAAAACCAGUGUUGAAGUUAACACAUUAAGUACUCCGCCUGAGUAGUACGUACGCAAGUAUGAAACUUAAAGGAAUUGACGGGACUCCGCACAAGCGGUGGAUCAUGUUGUUUAAUUCGAAGGUACCCGAAAAACCUCACCAGGUCUUGACAUGCUUCUGCAAAGCUGUAGAAACACAGUGGAGGUUAUCAGUUGCACAGGUGGUGCAUGGUUGUCGUCAGCUCGUGUCGUGAGAUGUUGGGUUAAGUCCCGCAACGAGCGCAACCCUUAUUGUUAGUUACCAGCACGUAAUGGUGGGGACUUUAGCAAGACUGCCAGUGAUAAAUUGGAGGAAGGUGGGGACGACGUCAAAUCAUCAUGCCCCUUAUGACCUGGGCUACAAACGUGAUACAAUGGCUGUUACAAAGGGUAGCUGAAGCGCAAGUUUUUGGCGAAUCUCAAAAAAACAGUCUCAGUUCGGAUUGAAGUCUGCAACUCGACUUCAUGAAGUUGGAAUCGCUAGUAAUCGCGAAUCAGCAUGUCGCGGUGAAUACGUUCUCGGG
rnacentral:rRNA from 1 species